rnacentral:tRNA from 1 species
GGCAGCGUAGCUCAGAGGUUAGAGCAGGGGACUCAUAAGCCCAAGGUCGUCGGUUCGAAUCCGACCGCUGCCACCA